rnacentral:rRNA from 1 species
AGAGUUUGAUCCUGGCUCAGGAUGAACGCUGGCGGCGUGCCUAAUACAUGCAAGUCGAGCGAACGGACGAGAAGCUUGCUUCUCUGAUGUUAGCGGCGGACGGGUGAGUAACACGUGGAUAACCUACCUAUAAGACUGGGAUAACUUCGGGAAACCGGAGCUAAUACCGGAUAAUAUUUUGAACCGCAUGGUUCAAAAGUGAAAGACGGUCUUGCUGUCACUUAUAGAUGGAUCCGCGCUGCAUUAGCUAGUUGGUAAGGUAACGGCUUACCAAGGCAACGAUGCAUAGCCGACCUGAGAGGGUGAUCGGCCACACUGGAACUGAGACACGGUCCAGACUCCUACGGGAGGCAGCAGUAGGGAAUCUUCCGCAAUGGGCGAAAGCCUGACGGAGCAACGCCGCGUGAGUGAUGAAGGUCUUCGGAUCGUAAAACUCUGUUAUUAGGGAAGAACAUAUGUGUAAGUAACUGUGCACAUCUUGACGGUACCUAAUCAGAAAGCCACGGCUAACUACGUGCCAGCAGCCGCGGUAAUACGUAGGUGGCAAGCGUUAUCCGGAAUUAUUGGGCGUAAAGCGCGCGUAGGCGGUUUUUUAAGUCUGAUGUGAAAGCCCACGGCUCAACCGUGGAGGGUCAUUGGAAACUGGAAAACUUGAGUGCAGAAGAGGAAAGUGGAAUUCCAUGUGUAGCGGUGAAAUGCGCAGAGAUAUGGAGGAACACCAGUGGCGAAGGCGACUUUCUGGUCUGUAACUGACGCUGAUGUGCGAAAGCGUGGGGAUCAAACAGGAUUAGAUACCCUGGUAGUCCACGCCGUAAACGAUGAGUGCUAAGUGUUAGGGGGUUUCCGCCCCUUAGUGCUGCAGCUAACGCAUUAAGCACUCCGCCUGGGGAGUACGACCGCAAGGUUGAAACUCAAAGGAAUUGACGGGGACCCGCACAAGCGGUGGAGCAUGUGGUUUAAUUCGAAGCAACGCGAAGAACCUUACCAAAUCUUGACAUCCUUUGACAACUCUAGAGAUAGAGCCUUCCCCUUCGGGGGACAAAGUGACAGGUGGUGCAUGGUUGUCGUCAGCUCGUGUCGUGAGAUGUUGGGUUAAGUCCCGCAACGAGCGCAACCCUUAAGCUUAGUUGCCAUCAUUAAGUUGGGCACUCUAAGUUGACUGCCGGUGACAAACCGGAGGAAGGUGGGGAUGAC